CUCUUUGUCAUGUAAUAAGGAAAACAUAUCCGUGUCAUGUUUCAAAAUAAUAUUCCAGGAAUACUCAAGGCCACCUAUUAAACCAUGAAGUUUAAUAGGUUUAUUUGAUAUACUUAGCUUUUUGUACUGCCGGACGACUUCACUCCUAAUCCUAAAAUGCUCAUCGAAGAAUUCCGCGAGCAUAUACGCAAAGUUAAGCCAAGUAGAGCAUAAGCAUAAGAAACGCGCAUUUUAUUCAAAGAUUUAUGUUCAUGUUCCCAUGUGUUUCUACGAGAGGGCGGUAGCAAGAAAGCGUUAGAGCGUCUCUACACCGGCCCUCACAAAAACGUAAAUCGUGUGUCGGAUCGAGUAUUCGACAUUGACAUACAUAGCGCAGUGUAUCGGUCGAAAAUUUAAAACCAGCAUAUGGCAUAUGCGAUGACUUAUGUAGUGCAACCCCAGAAGCAGGGCGAUCAACCAAUUCGUUCAGCAACAAGCAACCAGCUUUGAAAACGUAUUUUGAAUACAUCCCGAAUAUGUACAAAAAAAAAAUCCAGCUUUUCGGGAUUAUGCUAAAAGAAGUGCACGCGUCGAUAAAGUAUUAAGGAAAUGGAUUUCUGGUGGAAAGUUUGUAACAUUACGAGGCUGGAGAGAGGAAUGCUAUGAAGUCUAUUUGGAAUUCGAAAAUACAGAGUGGAUAUGAAUGGCUAUGUAAUGUCAAGGGCUUGUCAAUAUGAUUACAAAAAGCGUAGUCUGAAUAAAUAGACAUGGCCGGCGUGUUGGGAUAGUAUAGAUAUGGUGAGUGGUGGAUUGAGUGUUGGUUAUGUAUAAAUAAAACCGCGACAAAAAAAGCUGGCAAAAAA